rnacentral:rRNA from 1 species
AGAGUUUGAUCAUGGCUCAGAGCGAACGCUGGCGGCAGGCCUAACACAUGCAAGUCGAGCGGCCGUAGCAAUACGGCAGCGGCAGACGGGAGAGUAACACGUGGGAACGCGCCCUUCGGUCCGGAAUAACCCAGGGAAACUUGGGCUAAUACCGGAUACGCCCUUACGGGGAAAGAUUUAUUGCCGAAGGAACGGCCCGCGUCCGAUUAGCUAGUUGGUGAGGUAACGGCUCACCAAGGCGACGAUCGGUAGCUGGUCUGAGAGGAUGACCAGCCUCACUGGGACUGAGACACGGCCCAGACUCCCACGGGAGGCAGCAGUGGGGAAUAUUGGACAAUGGGCGCAAGCCUGAUCCAGCCAUGCCGCGUGGGUGAUGAAGGCCCUAGGGUUGUAAAGCCCUUUCAGCGGGGAAGAUAAUGACGGUACCCGCAGAAGAAGCCCCGGCUAACUUCGUGCCAGCAGCCGCGGUAAUACGAAGGGGGCUAGCGUUGCUCGGAAUUACUGGGCGUAAAGCGCACGUAGGCGGCUUUCUAAGUCGGGGGUGAAAUCCUGGAGCUCAACUCCAGAACUGCCUUCGAUACUGGAAAGCUCGAGUCCGGGAGAGGUGAGUGGAACUGCGAGUGUAGAGGUGAAAUUCGUAGAUAUUCGCAAG